rnacentral:tRNA from 1 species
CGGAAAGUAGCUCAAUGGGAGAGCGACAGACUAUCGAGGUUCAAUUCCUUUUUAUGACUGAUGGGAGCACGUUUGUAGUUGCCGGUUCGAGUCCGACCUUUCCGA